CUCGCUGUGACCGGGAGCUCCGAGUUGGCCACUAGCAAUGGCAUUGUCGGUGAGUUUGGAGCUCUCGCACUCGCCUCCGCUGUGGCACCUUCCCUCCCUCUGCCAUCACCGCCCAGGUAUACCGGAUCCAAGAAAAUCGUGGACAGUAAAGCAACCCAAGAGGAUCUGCAGCCGCAGUGUCAAAACUGAAGAGCUGCAGAGAUUCAGUGGCCGGAACAACCACGGAGGAGGACGAGGGAGCCCUUGAGGCGCGGCACGGUGAGUCCGCGCCUCCCUGUGCCCGACCACAUCCCUCUCCCUCCUUACGCCGGCACGAAUCGCCUCCCUGAUGUUGACCCCAAUCGACAGCUGCAUGACUGCGAGAGCAUUGCUCGUAUGAGAGCCGCCUGCGAGCUCACCGCUCGAGUUCUUGAGUACGCAGGGACACUAGUCAAGCCAUUGGCGACGACUGAUGAGAUUGACAGAGCAGUUCAUCAGAUGAUCAUCGACGCUGGCGCCUACCCUUCUCCCCUAGGCUACGGUGGUUUUCCGAAGAGCGUCUGCACGUCGGUGAACGAGUGCAUCUGCCAUGGAAUCCCUGACUCACGGGUGCUACAGAAUGGAGACAUCAUUAAUAUCGAUGUUACUGUCUACUUGAAUGGAUACCACGGUGACACCUCAAGGACAUACCUAUGUGGAGAAGUUGAUGAAUCUACUAUGCAACUUGUAAAGGUGUAAAUGACCUUGCUGAUCUCUGCUGAUUGUUUCAUGAUACGAUAAUGUUUCAUCCUGUAUCUGAAGAAACUUAUAUAUUGUUCUGUAACUAACAUGCUGAGGGGAAUAUCAGCCUGCAAACACGGUGCUAGUUUUAAGACAAUUGGUCAGAGAAUAAGGUGUUAAUCUCUCUUACCCAUAAAUUUCAUGAUGUCUUUCAGAUGAAUCAAGUACUAAUCAGCAUCGAUCUGAAAGCACUGAAAAAAGGAACACAAAAAUUGAUCAGGAUGCUGUUUUUCCCAGUAAUAAGCAAACAUUUUCCUCUAAAAUUUACUGAGAAAUUUUGUUUCAUGUACUUAUAUAUGUAGUAUAUUAUCUAUCAUACAUUUUUUCUGGUGCACUGAAACUCAAAUAAGCUGAACAGUAAGUGGAAAAACAUAUAAUGCUGAAUUUCAAAUGCCAUGAAUCAUAAAUGCACUUAUCCUGUCAGUGAUAGUCCAGCUUCUACAAAUAAUUUCAUGAUUUCUGAUUUCAGUGAGUACGUGGACGAGUACGGGUACAGCAUCGAUCCCUUUGUCGGACAUGGAAUUGGGAAAAUAUUCCACUCGGAACCGAUCAUUUGGCAUACCUAUGAUUAUGAGCCAGGCUACAUGGUUGCAGGCCAGACAUUCACAAUUGAGCCUACUCUGUCCAUGGGAGGCACCCAGUGCACACUGUGGGACGACGGGUGGACGGCUGUCACGGUGGACAGCAGCCUCACCGCGCAGUUCGAGCACACCAUCUUGGUCACCGGCGACGGCGCGGAGAUCCUCACCAUGCACCCGCGGUGAGAUGACGAGAAAUUCUACGCAACUAGCACCACUUGCAUAUCGUGCUGGUCUAAAAGCAUCCUUUUCUCAGUUUUCAUCUUUCACAAAACAAAGGCAACUCAUGAUCUGUACAGCAUUUUCAAAUAGUAGCAAAAUGCCCAUACUUUGUUACGGGAUUAAAAACAAAAUCUUACUGUAUGCUCUAGAAUAGUACUUCCCGUUCAAUAAUUAUGGGAUUAUUAAUGUGACUGACUGGGGAUUAGUAGAAUCUUUUCAGAAUCA